rnacentral:rRNA from 1 species
GACGAACGCUGGCGGCGUGCCUAAUACAUGCAAGUUGAGCGAUGAAGAUUGGUGCUUGCACCAAUUUGAAGAGCAGCGAACGGGUGAGUAACGCGUGGGGAAUCUGCCUUUGAGCGGGGGACAACAUUUGGAAACGAAUGCUAAUACCGCAUAACAACUUUAAACAUAAGUUUUAAGUUUGAAAGAUGCAAUUGCAUCACUCAAAGAUGAUCCCGCGUUGUAUUAGCUAGUUGGUGAGGCAAAGGCUCACCAAGGCGAUGAUACAUAGCCGACCUGAGAGGGUGAUCGGCCACAUUGGGACUGAGACACGGCCCAAACUCCUACGGGAGGCAGCAGUAGGGAAUCUUCGGCAAUGGACGAAAGUCUGACCGAGCAACGCCGCGUGAGUGAAGAAGGUUUUCGGAUCGUAAAACUCUGUUGGUAGAGAAGAACGUUGGUGAGAGUGGAAAGCUCAUCAAGUGACGGUAACUACACAGAAAGGGACGGCUAACUGCGUG